AUUUUAAUAACUGUCUCUGAUAUUAUUUUAUCUCCGUGAGAACAGGACUGUGUCCAUUUAUUCUACUGCUACAUCACUGAUGCUGAAAUGCUGAGAACAGGACAAUAGUGUGUGCUCAAUAAAUAAGAAUGAAUGGAUGAUUGAAACACUUAAAUAUCAAGAAAAGAAAACUGAAGAUUUAAAAAAGGGAGAGGGAGACAUCAGGAAGUUAAUGGUGAUCAUUGCUGGGUGGGGAAAUAUGGUUGCCUUUUAUUUUCUUUUGAUCUCUUACAUUUUCCAAAUUCCCCGCAAUGAGCACAUACUACUUUUACAAUCAGGUAAAGAAAUUACAAAAGUAGAAGCUGAAAAACUAGAAGCUGGCAUUUCUGAUCAUUUUCACUCCCUCCAUGGCAGAUCAUGUCAGAAUCUGAAUUACUAAAAAAGCUGAAGCUGAGAGGCAGGACCACAAAAGGACCGACCCUUGAGAAGGUCCUAAAGUUAAAUUGACCCAGACCCUCUCGGGGAGACAGAUAAGGACCCUGCCAGCCACCCAAGCUCCGUAGGCCACUGAGAUUACUGCUACAAUUACCUUGUCAUUGAGAUCAUGUGCAUUUAGUGUCACGGGGUCAGUUUCCUCCUUCUCUUCUCACCGUGCAAAGGCCCUUAGAGAUCUCAUGAAUUAGUGUUCAUCCCAGGAGAUCUGGGUUGGCAUUGUAAAUAUUACAAAACAUCCAUGUGCCUAAGUCCAGCCUUCAAAAUUACUUUGACAAUUUACUCUGAGGAAGCAGUUUUGACAUUUGAUUUCAGGGCUCAUGGUAUACAAAAGAUUACUGAAAAAAUUAUAGAGAACAGAGAGGAGAUACCAUAGUUUUCCAUUUUAUUUGUUUAUUUUUUAAAAUAUAACCAUCUUUUACACCUUUGGUCACAGUCUCUUCAUGAUUUUUCGAGGCAAUUUCUUUGGGAAACCUUGUGGCUGAGACAAUCUGACGGUAACCCCAGCUGGACAGGGUCCCUACUGGAACCAUUCCUAGAGCAGGUAAGAGGUGGGACGAAGGAAGGCAGGGCAUGCCGUGUGCCAGGCCCACACAGCUGGACAGAUGUGCAGGAGGAGGGGCAGGGACCAUCUGGAAGUCUCAGGGUGCUGUCCGCCCCCAGGCACCCACAGGAAGCAACAGAGGGGCGGUAAAACCCACAGCAGCAGAACUUACCGUGACGACAACUCCCUUGAGUUAAAACAUGCUUUUCAAGAAAGCAAGUACCAAUUCAAUCGCUAUAACGAGAAGCUCCUCAUGAUAGCAAUGAAGAAAGUCCAGGUUGUUGGGCAGUGUCAAUGUUUUAGAAAGGUGAGGGGGUGACCUGAAGGGACAAGAGCACAGUACACUCCCGACAACCCUGUCCUAACCUGUCUGAUGCCGGGACACACAUUUGGAGUGCGGGAGAAGCAGAAAGUCCUAAAUGCUGGGUUUUCCUCUAGAGAUGGGCAAGCUGUGGGUUCUUGAGGCGGUGGCACUAGAGCUGCACUGUCAGGCUUUAAUAGCCACACAUGCCCUGGGGACCUUGUUGAAACAUAGCUUACGAUUCUGUAGGUCCGGCCCGGGGUUCUGCAUUUCUAACAAGCUCCCAGACACAGUGGACUUUGCUCGUCCCUGGAACACACUGAGAAUGUACAGCAAGGCACGGGAGGAUACUCACUUUGCUCAGGGACACUUUGCUUCCCGCCAGAGCAAUAUAAACAAAAGCAGGUAUGAGUGGCCCAAUUCAGCAGCCUGGGAAGUGUGGUGAUAAUAACGCAAGCCUUGGCCUGGUGACCAAGUGGCUGCUCCGGGGACUCCCUCUCCAGACUGUGAGCAGUGUGCUGGGGUUGAGUGGGGCCAGCUGUCCCCAGUGAAAGGUGGCCUGGUCGCCAAGUGCAAGUGUCCAGGAUGGCUCACCUUUGUGAAGCUACCACAGACAUGGACCUAUGGGCCCAGAAGCGUGACUUGCCACUCACUAACUCACUCAGUCAUUCAUUCACUUUUUCAACAAAUGCUUCCUGAGCGUGUGUUACGCGCCAGGCCUGUGCUCGGCACGAGGGUACCGUGAUGAACAGCAGAUCGUGUCCUCACUCAGACCCCAGGAAUGGAUCCAUUUUUCAGGGGCAAGCUUCAAAAAUAAUGCUGAUGUUUGUAUUUAUUAUAAAAUUUACUAUAACAUUUACCAUUAUGAUGACGGCAGCUUCUACUUUUCAAAGGCCUGCUAUGUGCUAGCCACUGUGCUAAGCACUUUACCUGGAUCAUCUCGUUAAUCCUCACGACGACCUAUGUAGCAGGUACUACUAUUAAACUCACCGCAACGAUGAAGAAACUGAAGCUCAGAAAGGGUAAUUAAGCUGCCUGAGGACACCAGCUAGCGAGGGGAGGAACUGAGAUGAAUCCCUAGUCCCCACAGGCUGGGUCUCCAUGUCUGCUCAUGGGCACAUUCCCUACCUGGGGGAGAGCUCCCAGGGACCCAGUGACAGUCAGCACUGAGUUUGGAAUGUGAUAGGGGGCAGUAGAUGAUGUGGGUGAUGUCAAUCACAGUGGCAUUGCACUGCAAUCACCUGAUGCACUUAUCUCCCCAGGAUGGGCAGAACUUCAGCACAGGCCAGGAGCCUGAGUCCCCGGCCCAGAGUCCCCCUCUCUCCCUUGGGGAGAGCCAGGAUACCCUGGUUGGCUUUGCUGCAUCUUGCUGAGCAAAGGCAGCAUCCUCUCUGUUUCCUGGGCCUCCCUGCCUGUCCACACACACACACACACGCAUUCACACCCACUCACACCCACACACAUGAUCAUGCACAUCAUAUGAGCCCACAAACCCAUAGACACAUGCACACACCCUCACACACACUUGUACACCCUCACAUAUCUACACACACUACCAUGCACAACACACACAUUCACAUACUCUCACAUACACACUCACACACACACCCUUCUGAGGACUACCUUCUUUUUGGGGUACAUUAGUAGCAUGAUAAGGUAAACACAGAUUUUUGCCGCUUUCUGCUUUGGACCUAUUAUGUGUAUUUCAGAGUUUAACUCUCAAAAGUCUACUUUAUUCUCCUAAAUCCUGUGGCCAGGAUUCCUUUCCACUUUUAAAGCCCCAAACAGCUCUGUGCAGCCACUUCCCCUGACGUCCAAAACAGACAGGAGGGGCCUUAAAUGGUCCACAGCAUUGAUGGUGUCUUUAAAGAAAAAUGCGCUCUCGAUAGGAGGUUGGAUAACUCUACAUCCAGUUUCCAUUCGUCUUGGGGUUUGGUGACUGCUGUUUGUGUUUUGUGCAGGAGAAUCUCUCCUAGUCAACGUCUAUUUAACCAACACAGUGGUUAACCUUGGCGCUCUAUUCCUGCAUCAAUCUGUUGCCCACCACAUGCGGGGCCGUGCUGCUAGCUGGCAUUCCUUUUGGAUUUUCAAUUUACCACCCAACUACCAGUCCUAAUAACAUCAGAUAAGAGGGCUUCCGCUGUGCGACACUUGUGUUCAAAAACUGUAAAUGCUGUCAACCCAGAGUUAAGUCCAGCCAUAGGGAGACAGAAAAUAAACACCCAGGAAGGCCAAGGAGGCUCAGUGGCCCAAGCCCACUGAGUUGCUCAGACUCUGUGUGCUGUAGGAGUUCCAGAGAGCGGAGAGUGUGUGAAUUCGAGUGCAGAAGGCUUCCUGGAGGGGCUGAGAUUUCUGAUGGGCCUUUGUUAUGGGUUGAAUCGUGUCCACCCCAGAAUUCAGAUGUUCAAGUCCUAACCCCCAGUACCUAAGAAUGUGACCUUGUCUGGAAAUAGGAUCAUAGCUGAUUAACUAGUUAAGAUGAAGCCAUACUGGAGUAGAGCGGGCCCCUAAUCCCAUAUAACUGGUGUCCUUAUAACGAGGGGAAAUGUGAAAACAGACACGUGUGCACACAGGGAGAACGCCCGCGAAGACGAAGGCAGUGAGCAGGGUGAUGCCUCCACAAGCCAGGGAAUGCCGAAGAUCGCCAGCAACCACCAGGAGCUCAGGGGGAGGCGUGGAACAGGUUCUGUCUCACAGGAAGAAGGGGAAGGAAGGAACCUCAAAAGGAAGCGAUCCUGCCGACACCUUGAUUUCAGACUCCCGGCCUCCAGAACUGUGACACGAUAUAUUUCUGCUUAAACACCCAGUUUGUAGCACUUUGUUGCAGCAGCAAACUAGUACAGCCUGGAGGACAGGUAGGGAUUUGUGAUGCACGGAGAACGCACCCCUGUCACUACCACCACCAUCACUUACUAAGCUCUUAAAAGUGAAGCUGCUCAAUGAGCAGGUCCUCAUGCCAGGGUGAGGAGGUGGGCUCCAGCUCGCCCUCUGCCGGGUUGCAGAUGAGCACCUGUGGCCAGGAGGUGGCCCGAGGAGGACAGCUUGGCCACAUCCCUGCCUGCUCUGCCAGCUGGCCUGGAUCCCCCACCACACACCUGGCCAGGAGUCAGUAGGAAAACAGUGUGUUUGCAGGCUCUGCACCGAGGGCGUUGGAUCAAUGCAAAGGCUAAUACAUCAGAGAUAAGCGGGAUUUGUUGAUUUGCUGGAGGUUAGAGCUGCAGGAUCGGGUGUUGGCUCUGGGUCCUCUCCAAAGCCCUGGGCUGGCUCGACAUGAGCUGAAGAAGGAAAGUGUCUGUUGUAGGUUGAAUUGAGGCCCCCCCCCACCGCCAUCCCCAAGUCCUAGCCUUGGGGAGGACAUGUGAAUGUACCCACUUGGAAAUAGGGUCUUUGCAGGUAUGAUCAAGUAAAGGUGAGGUGAUGCUGGAUUCAGACGGGCUCUAACGCAGUGACUGGUGUCCGUGCAAGACAAGGGAAAUUGGACACACACAGAGGAGAAUGCCGUGGGACAACAGAGGCUGGGAAUGGAAUGAUUGCAGCCAGCACCAGCAGCUGGAAGAGGCAGGAAGGGUACUCCCCCAGAGCCUUCGGAGGGGACAUGGCCCUGCUGACACCUUCGUUUCAGACUUGUGACCUCUAGAACUGGGAAAGAACAGAUUUCCGUGGUCUGAAGCCACUCGGUUUGUGGUCCUUCCUUACGGCAGCCCUGGAAACUGCCAUAGGGCCCUUCCCUGCCAGCCGUGGUGGAGCAGCCUCCACGAGCGCUUAGCCAGCCAGGAAGAGGCCCCAGGGGAGCUCAGCCUCCCUCAGAGGGGCUUCUGCUCUCAGCCCCUCUCUGCACACACCCCGCCAGGGAGGGGGACUUCUCCUCUUUGCAAUCUGCCACGCAGAGGGUAUGAUGAUGGAGCCGUCCCAGCCUCUCUGUAAAGUGGGGACAAGAGCAGCCCUCCCUGCUCUCUGUACUUCUUAGAAUUCUUGUGACGAUCAUGUGAGAGAAUGGAGGAGGUGACAGAGCUUUGGAACCUGCGGAGGGCUGUGUGCUCUGGUGACCAACUAGCUGUCUGGUGAUAGGACAGGGAGAAGGCCUUGGCAGUGGCAGAGGGCAGGGAGCCAGGGCGGAGGAAAGACCUGGAUUCGGCUCGUAGGUACAUGACCUUUCUGCCAUAUCAUCUUAUCAUUCCGGCUGCCACAAGGAGACAGCCCCCUCCCCGGAAUGGCCCCCAAAGCCUUCCUCCGCUGCCUGUGCACCCCUCUGGCCUCAUCACCUUGCACGGACUCUUUUUGCCACUCCAUGCUGUCCCCAGCCUGUACCCCAGCCAUCUGGUUCUGCAGGCCAAUUUCACAUUCUCCAAGUUCAAGUUCUAUUUUGGAAUUUCUUAUAACUAUUUUACUGAGAAUAUGUCUCCCCUGACUUUGAACUUAUUGAGAGCAGGAAACAUGAAUCAUCUGUAGAUCCUGGCACUUAACCCAGGACCCGUCUGAUCCAGGGUAGGUGGUCUAGGUUUAUUGAAGGAAUUUCAUUUAGUCUUUAAAAUGAAGGUACGCUGCCUAGAUCCAUCAUUUUUGAACUCUACACUUCAUCAAGGACUAAGUUUACAUAAAUAUCUUCUGCAGAACACUAAUUCUAUAAAGUUCUCUCUCUCCCUCACACACACACACACACACCCCAACUCUACAGUUUAAUACAUUUGGCAGAGGCUAUGUACUACAGCCUCUCUUACAGAUUAACAAUGCCCAUUAGUGCACUUGUUUAACUUUGUUUAACCAAAUAUUCUCAAAUGUAUUUAAUCAUAUGUGGCAGAGAAUGCUAAGUGUCUAGCAUUCUCCAUUUCCCCUUUCUUCCUUAAACAUAGAACCUCUAAGAUUUUUAGCUUGGUGUAUUGCCACCUGGAAUAAAAACUACCUUUCCCAGCUUUCCCUGCAGCUAGGUACAACUCUCUGAUAAAUUCUGGCCAACGAAAUACAGGCAGACAUAAAUCAUAUAUGAUUUCCAGGAAGGCCCCUUAAGGAGAAGGGGUGCACCUUUCUCUCCCCCACACAUUUCUCCUGUCUGGAAUGCAGAUGUAGAUAUUGGCAUUUGAACAGCCAUCUUGGGCUACGAGGUAGCUUCUUACUGAUGAUCUAGGACUUAUUCUGGGGUCUAGAUUUACCUCCAAAUUUUGUUUAUCUAACAAAAAUAAAAUUGUAUCUUGUUUAAGCCA